GGUAUAAAUCCCGAAAAUGAAUCCGGUUUCGCUUCAGCGCCUCUUCGAAGUCC
rnacentral:misc_RNA from 1 species